UACGGGGGGGGCAAGCGUUGUUCGGAAUUACUGGCGUAAAGGGCUCGUAGGUGGCCAACUAAGUCAGACGUGAAAUCCCUCAGCUUAACUGGGGAACUGCGUCUGAUACUGGAUGGCUUGAGUUUGGGAGAGGGAUGGCGGAAUUCCAGGUGUAGCGGUGAAAUGCGUAGAUAUCUGGAGGAACACCGGUGGCGAAGGCGGCAUCCUGGACCAACACGUGACACUGAUGAGCGAAAGCCAGGGGAGCGAA
rnacentral:rRNA from 1 species